GAUGAAGAACCAGCGAAAUGCGAUAAGUAAUGUGAAUUGCAGAAUUCAGUGAAUCAUCGAAUCUUUGAACGCACAUUGCGCCCGCCAGUAUUCUGGCGGGCAUGCCUGUUCGAGCGUCAUUUCAACCAUCAAGCCCCCGGCUUGUGUUGGGGACCUGCGGCUGCCGCAGGCCCUGAAAACCAGUGGCGGGCUCGCUAGUCACUCCGAGCGUAGUAAUACAUCUCGCUCAGGGCGUGCUGCGGGUUCCGGCCGUUAAAAAGCCUUAUUUACCCAAGGUUGACCUCGGAUCAGGUAGGAAGACCCGCUGAACUUAAGCAUAUCAAUAAGCGGAGGA
rnacentral:misc_RNA from 1 species